GGACGAUUAGCUCAGUUGGUUAGAGCGUUCGCUUGACGUGCGAAAGGUCAGUGGUUCGAGUCCACUAUCGUCCACUA
rnacentral:tRNA from 1 species